GACUCUCCUGCCAGCACCGCCCCCUCCUCUCCCUCUGUAGGGCCCCAGCAGCCCCUUCAAGCCCCCCCAACCUGCCCCCCAGUGUCUCCCCAUCUGUUGUGACCCUCUUGCCAGCUCCACCCCCAUCUGUGGUUAUCCCUCAGCCCCCAGCAUCCCCUCCUCCAUCGUGUACACUCUGCCUGGCCUUUCCCUUCGCCCCGACCUCCUCCUCCCCCCUGUCCUGAGCACCCCGACACCGGCCUCCUCUCGCCCCAUCUCUCACAUCCUCCUUCCCGUCCUCAGCACCCCGACACCGACCUCCUCUCGCCUCAUCUCCCACAUCCUCCUUCCUGUCCUCACCACCCCACACCCCCUUCCUCCUCCUCCUCCCCAUCCCUGUCCUCAGCGCCCCAUGCCUAAUUCCCUCCAACCCAUUUCUCAUUGCUGGGCCCCACUUUCCCAUCCCCCCCAGUCCAUCCCCAGGGUGUGAGGUUCCUCAUCUUCAAUCUUUGCUACACCCAAACCUGCCAGGUUCCCCUUUUCAACCGCUGUGGGGUCGUCCAACCGCCGACACCCAUCCACUCUGGGCUCUCUAAAUCCCACAUUCCCGCAAUGCACCUUGGUAACGCCACUCUCCUCUGUCCCUAAUCCCCCUGUUCCCUUAGGUCCUUCUGGACACCCCAACCGACAGUCAGGCCCCCACAUACAUCCCAGUCAUUCACAUGCAGAGCUAGUUCUUCAGGGACCCCCACAGCCCAGCAAACUUCUCCUUUCAUGAGCCCCAUGGACCUGUGGCCGGGAAGGUGAGGAAGCUCCCACUUUGGCUGGGCUGGGUGUGGGUGUUAAUCUUUUCCUGUCUUGUGUGUGCUGUGCUCACAAAGGCUUUUUGCUCCCUCGGGUGAGGUGUGGUUUUGGCCGAAGAUGAGGUGUUUUGGUAGCCCUGUGGAUGCUGUGUGGUGUCUGGAAUGGGGCGUGUGUGUUCCCAUCAUGCCCCUUCCCCUCUGCCUGCAGAGCUGAGGACAGACAGGUCUGAGGAGCAGAGCAGGAGCUCUGGGAAGGAGAAGAGCAAUAUGAAGAUGGAGUGUAAGAUGAGGCCAGGGAAGAGAAGUCGCGGGGACGGAGUCCAGCCCUGAGGUGAGAUGGAAAGUGAUCGAGAGCAGUGACAGCGUGAAUCCUGUUGAUGCCAGGCAAGACCUGCCCAACUGGGACAAGAGUAACCAUCUCUGUCGAUCAUUUAUGAAUAAGUUGAACAGUACUGCUC